GCCGAAAGGCGUAGUCGAUGGAAAACAGGUUAAUAUUCCUGUACCACCUUUUAUGAGUGAUGGGGUGACGGAGUAGGAUAGAUUGGCCGAGUGUUGGAUUACUCGGUUUAAGCAUGUAGGAGUAAAGGAUUGGCAAAUCCGUCCUUUUUUAACUCCAAGGUGUGAAUACGAGAGGCCUAGCCUCACAAAGUAAUUGAUUCCACACUUCCAAGAAAAACCUCUAAGUGUUGAUUAAAAGGUGCUCGUACUGUAAACGGACACACGUACGCGGGUAGAGUAUACCAAGGUGUUUGAGAUAAUUAUGGUCAAGGAACUCGGCAAAAUAGCUCCGUAACUUCGGAAUAAGGAGUGCCUGUUAGGUGAUAACUCUUGCAGUUGGAGCUCAAACAGGUGGCACUGAAAUGGUGGAAGCGACUGUUUACCAAAAACACAGGCCUGUGCUAACCCGCAAGGGGAUGUAUACGGGCUGACGCCUGCCCGGUGCUGGACGGUUAAGGGGAUGGGUUAUCCUUCGGGAGAAGCUUAGAACCGAAGCCCCAGUAAACGGCGGCCGUAACUAUAACGGUCCUAAGGUAGCGAAAUUCCUUGUCGUCUAAUUAGCGACCCGCAUGAAUGGCGUAACGACUUCUAUGCUGUCUCGACCAUAAUCUCAGCGAAAUUGUAGUGCUGGUGAAGAUGCCAGCUUCCCGUUGUGGGACGGAAAGACCCCGUGCACCUUUACUAUAACCUAGCACUGGAUUUUGAUACUAAACGCGUAGGAUAGGUGGGAGACUUUGAAGAUUUAGUUUCGGCUAGAUCUGAGUCGUUGGUGAAAUACCACCCUUUUAAUAUUAGGAUUCUAACUGUAAUCCGUUAUCCGGAUUAAGGACACUGUUAGGCGGGUAGUUUGACUGGGGCGGUUGACUCCUAAAGAGUAACGGAGUCGCUCAAAGGUUCUCUCAGCCUGAUUGGAAACCAGGCGUCGAGUGCAAUGGCAUAAGAGAGCUUGACUGUGAGAUUGACAAAUCGAGCAGGUACGAAAGUAGGACAUAGUGACCCGGUGCCUCCAUGUGGGAGGGGCAUCGAUCAUCGGAUAAAAGGUACGCCGGGGAUAACAGAUUAAUCGCGCCCAAGAGUUCACAUCGACGGCGCGGAUUGAUACCUCGAUGUCGGCUCAUCGCAUCCUGGGGCUGAAGAAGGUCCCAAGGGUUUAGCUGUUCGCUAAUUAAAGCGGUACGCGAGCUGGGUUCAGAACGUCGUGAGACAGUUCGGUCCCUAUCUACAACGGGCGAAGGAGAAUUGAGAGGAGUUGCUCAUAGUACGAGAGGACCUGAGUGAACAAACCUCUAGUGUACCAGUUGUCGUGCCAACGGCAUGGCUGGGUAGCUACGUUUGGAAAGGAUAACCGCUGAAAGCAUCUUAAGUGGGAAGCCUACCUCGAGAUUAAUUCUCCCGAACCUUAUGGUUCCUGAAGAUCACUCGAAGACUACGAGUUUGAUAGGCACAAUGUGUAAGUCCUGUAAAGGAUUCAGCUAAUGUGUACUAAUAGAUCGUGAGCCUUAACUAC
rnacentral:rRNA from 1 species